UCUAAGUGGAAAACGAUGUGGAAAUACGCAGACAACCAGGAUGUUGGCUCAGAAGCAGCCACUCAUUUAAAGAGUGCGUAAUAGCUCACUGGUCGAGCGUCUCUGCGCGGAAAAUUUAACGGGGCUAAGAUACAAACCGAAGCUUAGGCUGCACGUAAGUGCGGGGUAGGGGAGCGUUGUGUAAGCGGAGAAACAGUAGCGUAAGCGGCUGUGGAGUUUACAGAAGUGAGAAUGCCGGAAUGAGUAGCGCGAAUGUGGUGAGAAUCCACAUGGCCGGAAACCUCAGGUUUUUGGAGGAAGGUUCGUCCGCUCCAAGUUAGGCGGGAGCUAAGGUCAGGCCGAAAGGCGUAGCCGAUGCACAGACGGUAGAGAUUCCGUCCCCACCGAAAGAUUUAAGCACAGGGACACUUUUUGAAGGUCGGAGCCAGGUGUUGGUUCUGGUAGUGAUCGAGGGAAAUAUAGUACCGAAGUCCGGCUGGAAGAGAGGCGAGAAAAGCUGUGUGUAUAUCUAAGGUGCCCGUACCGCAAACCGACACAGGUAGGUAGGAAGAAGAUUCUAAGGCCAACGGGAGAAGGGUUGUUAAGGAACUCGGCAAAUUGACCCCGUAACUUCGGGAGAAGGGGUGCUCCAGAGAUGGAGCCGCAGAGAAUCGGCCCAAGCAACUGUUUACCAAAAACACAGGUUUGUGCUAAAUCGAAAGAUGACGUAUACGAGCUGACGCCUGCCCGGUGCUGGAAGGUUAAGAGGAGAUGUGCAAGCAUUGAAUCGAAGCCCCAGUGAACGGCGGCCGUAACUAUAACGGUCCUAAGGUAGCGAAAUUCCUUGUCAGGUAAGUUCUGACCCGCAUGAAAGGCGUAAUGAUUUGGGCACUGUCUCAACAGCCCGCCCGGCGAAAUUGUAGUACCGGUGAAGAUGCCGGUUACCCGCGACAAGACGGAAAGACCCCAUGGAGCUUUACUGUAGCCUGAUAUUGGGUUUCGGUGUUGCAUGCACAGGAUAGAUGGGACACUGGGAAGGCAGUGCUUUGGCAUUGCUGGAGUGGACGUUGGGAUACCAUCCUUGCGACAUUGGAAUUCUAACCUGCGCCUCUGAAUCGAGGCGGGGGACAUUGUCAGGUGGGCAGUUUGACUGGGGCGGUCGCCUCCUAAAAAGUAGCGGAGGCGUUCAAAGGUUCGUUCGAUCUGGACGGAAACCAGAUGAUUGAGUGCAAACGCAUAAACGAGCCUGACUGCGAGACUGACGGGUCGAGCAGAGACGAAAGUCGGAGUUAGUGAUCCGGUGGUAUGUGAGUGGAAAUGCCAUCGCUCAACGGAUAAAAGUUACCCUGGGGAUAACAGGCUGAUCUCCCCCAAGAGUCCACAUCGACGGGGAGGUUUGGCACCUCGAUGUCGGCUCAUCGCAUCCUGGGGCUGUAUUCGGUCCCAAGGGUUUGGCUGUUCGCCAAUUAAAGCGGUACGCGAGCUGGGUUCAGAACGUCGUGAGACAGUUCGGUCCCUAUCUGUCGUGGGCGCAGGAUAUUUGAAAGGCGCUGUCCCUAGUACGAGAGGACCGGGAUGGACGAACCUCUGGUGCACCAGUUGUCACGCCAGUGGCACAGCUGGGCAGCUAUGUUCGGAUCGGAUAAACGCUGAAAGCAUCUAAGCGUGAAGCCGGCCUUAAGAUAAGAUAUCCCACUGAGUCAAUCAGGUAAGACCCCUUGAAGACUACAAGGUUGAUAGGCACACAGUGUAAGCGGAGUGAUCCGUUCAGCUAGCGUGUACUAAUAGGUCGAGGGCUUGACCCC
rnacentral:rRNA from 1 species